UACGGAGGGUGCAAACGUUGCUCGGAAUCAUUGGGCGUAAAGCGCACGUAGGUGGCCUGUUAAGUCGGGUGUGAAAUCCCUGGGCUCAACCCAGGAAGUGCACUCGAAACUGGCAGGCUUGAGUACUGAAGAGGAUCGCGGAAUUCCCGGUGUAGAGGUGAAAUUCGUAAGAUAUCGGGAGGAACACCAGUGGCGAAGGCGGCGAUCUGGGCAGAUACUGACACUGAGGUGCGAAAGCGUGGGGAGCAAACAGG
rnacentral:rRNA from 1 species